rnacentral:sRNA from 1 species
GGCCACAGCGGGGUGGACUUACAAACAGCCUAUGCUCCCCCAAAUACAUCUUUUCAGUCAAAUGAAACUAUAACACUGGAGAAAUGUUAUGUGUUUCCCUGAGCCCUAGUCCCUGUGUCUACCUGACCACUGUUAAAUUGGUGGGUGGAAGGCAUUCUGUAUGUCACUGUCCAAGCAGUCGAGCAGAUUCAGCCCCAUCUUGAGAGCUUGAAGGCGCAUUUUGACUGGCUAGCACCUGCCAGUUGUUUGAGACCAUUUCUGCCCUGGGAAAUGUUAUAUUGUCUCAAACUCUCAGAGGAGCCGCAUUCCAAUGAGUCCUGUGCCGCAGUGGAACAGGCACAAUGCACCACCCGAGAAUAUGUCAACUUUUACAACCAGCAAACCCCAGAAUUUGUCAAUCUAUUUCAUC